GACAGACUUGAUACGAUGGCUCCAGCAAACUCCCAUCAAAACAGAGUAAAACCCAGACCUUUCUUUCUUUCAAUCUUCUCUUUUUGGCUUUAUUUCCUCUUAAUGGAAAAAAAGGGAAAUCGAUGAAGAUCAAAAAAGAUGGCAGUAGGUGGUAAUAGGGUAGCAAGAAAAGAUGGCAGUAGGUGGUAAUAGGGUAGCAAGAUUUUGGAUAUGAUGUCCUUUUUCCGAAGGUGGGUUUGGCUUGAAGAGAGCAAAAUCGACAAGGCAAGGUGGAAAAAAAAUAAAAGCUUCUUUGCUUGCUUUCUGUGUUUCUUCCUAC
rnacentral:lncRNA from 1 species